UACGUAGGGUGCGAGCGUUGUCCGGAAUUACUGGGCGUAAAGAGCUCGUAGGUGGUUUGUCGCGUUGUUCGUGAAAACCGGGGGCUUAACCCUCGGCGUGCGGGCGAUACGGGCAGACUUGAGUACUGCAGGGGAGACUGGAAUUCCUGGUGUAGCGGUGGAAUGCGCAGAUAUCAGGAGGAACACCAGUGGCGAAGGCGGCUCACUGGACCGGUACUGACGCUGAUGCGCGAAAGCGUGGGGAGCAAACGGG
rnacentral:rRNA from 1 species